CUCUAUGGCCAUGCCACCCUGAGCAAGCCCAAUCCUGUAUGAUCUUGGAAGCUAGGCAGGGUCAGGUCCAGUUAGUACUUGGAUGGGAGACCACCUAGGAAGACCAGGUGCUGUAGGUG
ensembl:rRNA 5S_rRNA 5S ribosomal RNA